UUGACACACAGUGUUCCUGGGAUCAGUGGGCCCUGUUUGCAUGACUUCCUUGGGAGAGGACAGCUGGAAGCUCUUGAGGACAGCUGGAAGCUCUUGUCCCAUCUGAUGAGAAAUCUAAGGCCCAGACAAUGUGAAAUAACUUGCCGAAGUUCCCACAGAAAGUUAAAGGGUGGAUCCUGGAAGAAAUAAUUUUUCAUGUAUGAAAACAAUUCUAUACAGUUUUUGACUUCAGAUUUCUUUCCUCCCUUAUGUUCACUUGUAAUUAAAUGUGAAAUCUUAAUAUGAUAUACAUAGCAUAAUAUCAUUGUUUUUACAAAAAUGUCUUUCUUUGAUCUAGCUAUAUAUGCAUGUGCAUUGAAAAAUGUUCCAGAUAUAGUCAGCAAUAUUGCAAUAACAUCGUAUGAUGGCAGAUGGUGACUGCACAACAAAAAAAGAAAAAGAAAUGUGGAGGAACGUUGCUCACCUAAUAUUAGAGAAGAUGUUUCAGACAUUUAAAUUUGGGGACAACCUGGAAAGCAAGCGAAGCAAAUUUUGAGUAAUUUAGUAUGUCUGGGAAAGCCUUGCCAUCGAGCUCACUUGAAUUGCUCUUUUUCUGGUGCAAUGGGGAAAAAACAGCUUCUUCUUUCAAGGCAACAAGCUCCAGAGACAGCUGCCCUCAGGGGCUGGAUUCACCUCCACGGUUUUCCUCUAUUCCAUGUAUCUUUCGAUUUCACAGUUCAAGGAAAGAAGGCAAAAAUAAACAAACAAAAGACCCCUAAAUAGUCCAAGUAUCAUUCUCAAAGAAAGUGAUUUGGGACAAUUGUCUUAAAAGAAUAAGCAACAAUCUUUUUAAAAUGACCUUA